UAGGAAUCUUCCACAAUGGACGCAAGUCUGAUGGAGCAACGCCGCGUGAGUGAAGAAGGUUUUCGGACCGUAAAGCUCUGUUGUUGGUGAAGAAGGAUAGAGGUAGUAACUGGCCUUUAUUUGACGGUAAUCAACCAGAAAGUCACGGCUAACUACGUGCCAGCAGCCGCGGUAAAUCGUAGGUGGCAAGCGUUGUCCGGAUUUAUUGGGCGUAAAGCGAGCGCAGGCGGAAGAAUAAGUCUGAUGUGAAAGCCCUCGGCUUAACCGAGGAAUUGCAUCGGAAACUGUUUUCUUGAGUGCAGAAGAGGAGAGUAGAACUCCAUGUGUAGCGGUGGAAUGCGUAGAUAUAUGGAAGAAUACCAGUGGCGAAGGCGGCUCUCUGGUCUGCAACUGACGCUGAGGCUCGAAAGCAUGGGUAGCGAACAGGAUUAGAUACCCUGGUAGUCCAUGCCGUAAACGAUGAGUGCUAAGUGUUGGGAGGCUUCCGCCUCUCAGUGCUGCAGCUAACGCAUUAAGCACUCCGCCUGGGGGAGUACGACCGCAAGGUUGAAAC
rnacentral:rRNA from 1 species